GAUGAGAACGCAGCGAAAUGCGAUAAGUAAUGUGAAUUGCAGAAUUCAGUGAAUCAUCGAAUCUUUGAACGCACCUUGCGCCCCUUGGUUAUUCCAAAGGGCAUGCCUGUUUGAGUAUCAUGAACACCUCAACUCUUGUGGUUUCCCACAAUGAGCUUGGACUGUGGAGGUUUUGUUGGCCCUGUGGUCAGCUCCUCUCAAAUGGAUCAGCUUACCGGUGUUUGGUGGCAUUACGGGUGUGAUAACUAUCUACGCUCGUGGUCGUCUCCAAAUAACCUCCAGUGAUGGAGGUUCGCUGGAGCUUAUAAAUGUCUCUCCCCAGUGAAGACACCCUUUGAACGUUCGAUCUCAAAUCAGGUAGGACUACCCGCUGAACUUAAGCAUAUCAAUAAGCGGAGGA
rnacentral:misc_RNA from 1 species